rnacentral:ncRNA from 1 species
CCCUGACAGUCGUAAUGUGCGGCUGACUUAACCCAGACAGGAGAUUCUCAUG